AAGUCGUAACAAGGUUUCCGUAGGUGAACCUGCGGAAGGAUCAUUACUGAGUUCAUGCCCUUACGGGUAGAUCUCCACCCUUGAAUACAAACUCUUGUUGCUUUGGCGGGCCGCUUCGGCUACUGGCUUCGGCUGGUGAGUGCCCGCCAGAGAACCCUAAACUUUGAAUUAUAGUGUCGUCUGAGUACUAUAUAAUAGUUAAAACUUUCAACAACGGAUCUCUUGGUUCUG
rnacentral:misc_RNA from 1 species